GAAAGCGGGAUGGCCCAUUUGUUUCACGUGGUUUGCACAGCUGAUCCCCCUUCGAUCCCCGUCGACCCCCUCCUAUCCACGUGGUUCUCAGCCCUCGAGGGGGGACUCAAGGAUUUGGAGGAAACGAAGCCGCCCCCACCCGCCGCUCACUCAACGCUCUGCCGCCCGACUCCUCCUCAAGACGCUGCCGCCCGCCGCCUCGACGCCGGUGUACCCCUCCGGCAUACUGGACGUCUCCCCGGCGGUGUCCUUAUCACGUUGCUUAGUGGCGCCACACGUGUCCAGGUCCUCGCUAUCCUCGCCAAUGUUUCGUAUAUGAAGGGAUAAUCCUGGCUCUUUGGCAACUAGAGAAGCAAGCUGGACAAACUUUUGGGCAUUCAAAAACUCGAUGAUCAUGACAUCGUAAGAGCAAUCCAUCUGUAGGACAACAUCAUUCUCAUCCUUGCUUGGUCUGUAAAAAUAUAAUUGAUUGUGAGCUAUAAGAGAUUAUGUUGCUGUGAUGUGAUUGAUAUUGCUGUGAUGAGAUAUUAAUUCCAAGUCAAUAUGUGAAGAACUGCUGUCACAUUUUUA